GAUCGCAGUGAUGACCACAUAAAAUUCAAGCUCAACAGACCGGAAUGCACGGUUUCAUCCAUUUUCGGAUGUUACUUUGCGUGUCGACAACCCCGCUGAACUGAGCGAUC